AAAACUGUUUUUUAUGUUGAGCUGCUGUUACCACUUACUUCUGAUCUUUCAAACUCUUCCUAUGUGUCAGCUGACUUCCUGUUCCUCUGUGUUUGCAGUAUGCUGGACGUCCUAGCCUUUGUGAAGAACCCAGUAAACAGGUGCACUGACGCACUGAAGCACAGGUGCAUAUAAUGGUAUUUAUGGCAAACACAAACUGUGGUGGUUUCGAGUUAAAACAAAGCUGGAGUGUCAAAGAAAAUACCCCCUCCACUCCCACUCCCCCGCCCAGGCCUCCCCACGUUUGGCUCAGGUGACCUCAGGGAGAAGAAAUCUACGUGCCAAGCUCCUGUCUGCUGGCUGGGCACAGCCGCAGCGAUGGCCCCUGGGAUCUCCAAUCACCGCCAUCGCGGUUCGUUCGGGGGAAGACGACGGCCGAGCACAGCCUGCCGCUUGUACUCUGCCGUGGAGAUGGCGCCCCCUGCAG